rnacentral:tRNA from 1 species
GGUGUAGGGGUUAACAUGCCUGCCUGUCACGCAGGAGAUCGCGGGUUCAAAUCCCGUCGGGA